rnacentral:sRNA from 1 species
AGUGAUGAAGCUAUAUGCUGCGCCAAUAUGCAGUGUUUAGCGGAGCUUGCAAAGGGUUUGCAUAUCAAACCACAAAUUGGCUAGAUUUAAUCGAAAAGAAAAAU